UUGUGAGUUUGAAUCAACAAACUUGUUUGUUAUCAACGAAUAUCUUGGAUUAUUGAACUGGAAAACAAAUUUUGUGAGUUCUAUAAUCACUUAUUAUCAAUCCUACAAAUAUUUUGUCAGUUCGACAAACACGAUUGUUGAUUUCGCUUCGAUUUUUAUUGACGUGUACUAAAAAUUGAGAGUGUACGUAUUUUUUCAACGUCACCGAAUAUCAAGAUGGCCGAAAACAGAAAAAAGGAGGCGAAUUUCUUCGUGCUGAUUUGCCAGAUUCGGCCAGUCCGUAAGUAUUUAUUAACUUUUGUAUCGGAUCUAAGUAUAGUGUAUUUAUCUUUCCAUACCAAUCAGGGACCGUGGCGAAUCAAAGUUGGAAAAAAACUAGGUCCAGUUCCGGAGAACGUUCCGGCUUUCCUGGUAGUUUCAGUAUAUUUUCAAAAUGAUCCCACAGUGACGACAGCCAAGGAUUUUCCAGGGUUCCCCAGGGAGCUGCUAGAAAAUAGGAUUUAAUACAAGGAUAAAGGAGUGAUUGACCGAGUCGAAUUUCAUGAUGAAUGUAAGUUUGAGUAGUAUAUCGUAAUAAAUAAAAUACAAAUAAACUUAGAAACAA